rnacentral:rRNA from 1 species
AUUGAACGCUGGCGGCAGGCCUAACACAUGCAAGUCGAACGAGUGGCGGACGGGUGAGUAAUGUCUGGGAAACUGCCCGUUGGAGGGGGAAACCUCUUGGAACGGUUAGCUAUAACCCCUAACCCUCGAAUUUGCCCAGAUGGGAUUAGCUAGUAGGUGGGGUAACGGCUCACCUAGGCGACGAUCCCUAGCUGGUCUGAGAGGAUGACCAGCCACACUGGAACUGAGACACGGUCCAGACUCCUACGGGAGGCAGCAGUGGGGAAUAUUGCACAAUGGGCGCAAGCCUGAUGCAGCCAUGCCGCGUGUAUGAAGAAGGCCUUCGGGUUGUAAAGUACUUUCAGCGAGGAGGCGUUACUCGCAGAAGAAGCACCGGCUAACUCCGUGCCAGCAGCCGCGGUAAUAC